rnacentral:rRNA from 1 species
CCUACGGGUGGCAGCAGUGGGGAAUAUUGCACAAUGGGGGAAACCCUGAUGCAGCGACGCCGCGUGAGGGAAGACGUAUUUAGGUAUGUAAAGCUGUAUCAGCAGGGAAGAAAAUUACGUUACCUGACUAAGAAGCCCCGGCUAACUACGUGCCAGCAGCCGCGGUAAUACGGAGGGGGCAAGCGUUAUCCGGAUUUACUGGGUGUUAAGGGGGCGUAGACGGCAGCGCAAGUCUGAAGUGAAAUCCCAUGGCUUAACCAUGGAACUGCUUUGGAUACUGUGCAGCUGGAGUGCAGGAGAGGUAAGCGGAAUUUCUAGUGUAGCGGUGAAAUGCGUAGAUAUUAGGAGGAACACCAGUGGCGAAGGCGGCUUACUGGACUGUAUCUGACGUUGAGGCUCGAAAGCGUGGGGAGCAAACAGGAUUAGAUACCCCUGUAGUC